rnacentral:rRNA from 1 species
GACGAACGCUGGCGGCGUGCUUAACACAUGCAAGUCGAACGGUGAAAGCGGAGCUUGCUCCGCUGGAUCAGUGGCGGACGGGUGAGUAACACGUGGGCAACCUGCCCCUCACUUCGGGAUAACUCCGGGAAACCGGGGCUAAUACCGGAUAUGACCUCCUUGGGCAUCCUUGGAGGUGGAAAGUUUUUCGGUGAGGGAUGGGCCCGCGGCCUAUCAGCUUGUUGGUGAGGUAGGGGCUUACCAAGGCGACGACGGGUAGCCGGCCUGAGAGGGCGACCGGCCACACUGGGACUGAGACACGGCCCAGACUCCUACGGGAGGCAGCAGUGGGGAAUAUUGCACAAUGGGCGGAAGCCUGAUGCAGCAACGCCGCGUGAGGGAUGACGGCCUUCGGGUUGUAAACCUCUUUUAGCAGGGAAGAAGCGAGAGUGACGGUACCUGCAGAAAAAGCACCGGCUAACUACGUGCCAGCCGCCGCAGUAA